GUCACAGUAGGUCUUGCUCAGAGAGACUCAAAGAGUAAAUAUCUUUGUCUUGGUUGGUAGCAUGGUUUGCUGGAACGCUAGCAAGCUAAGCGAGUUGAAAGCAGGUGCUUGCGUACAUGGUCAGAGAAGCCCUAAGGAGAAGAGUAACUAUGGCAAUGACACCCUACAGAGCCCAUGGCUGCAGUAUCUUUGGACAAAAACAACAUCAAAGCCAGAACAAAAUGACACUUUGCCUUAAGGCCGAUAGCCAUUAUGGUGAAAAGCAUUUAUCCGCCAUUAGUGUCUGGCAGGUCUCCUUUCAGCCUAAAACCACCCUUAUUAAAAUACAGACCUCUUUCUGCACCCAAAUGCACGUUUGACCUUCCGGGCUUGACAAGAGGGUGGUUCUGAUUCCCCCCUUCCCGUUCCUCUGGGCACAGGUUGGUUACAGUGAUGACAAAUCCACACAGAGGAUCAAUGCCAUUGCCCCAGUCUCUCUCCCAGGGGACAGAAUGACAUAAAAGGAGGUUUGAGUGUGUUGGUGUAACAGCUGACCCCUGUGAUAGGGAACCCCUACUGCGGCUGAUGGAGCAAGACAUCUGGGUCAGUUCCUGAUGGACCGGGGAUAUUGGCCUGCCUGGCUUCGUCAUUCAUGUUUGACAGGUCACAGACAAGACCGCGUUACUCUGGAGGCCUACACAGGAAAUCUGAUCCCAAUGCUGCUUUUACACACACUGAAAAAAAUCCUUCAUUGGAUAAACUUAUACUUUUAUGACUAUAUCUUACAGGUAUUCUCAAUUGAAAAAAAAAAGGGUUAAUUCAAAUCCAUACAUGAAUAAUCGUGAUAUUCAAUGCAUAGAGACCAUUAAAUGUUCUGUUCAGAGGGGCCCCUAUUGUCAUUGUCUUUCAGUAAACUCUAAAAACUUAAACCCUGAUUUACUCACCUUUAUUGCUGUAACAUUGAGUCAAUUUUAGCUUUGAAAUCAUGUAACAUAUCCAUUAAAAAUGGAGUGAAUGUAACUGAUAACUUGAGGUAGUUUUGAUUAAUAAAAAGUAGUACCAUGAAAAAUAAAAUUGAAGAAGCUAUCACUGAAAUCCUGUGUAGGUACUAUAGAAAACCAUAGUGCAUCCAAAUGAGCAUGGUCUGGUCUGUUUUGAAUAAACCCAAUUCAUUGCCAUAUCCCUUCAAAGUCCAUAUGCCUAUGAGAACAUUAUUAUUAAGCACAAUGCAAGGGGGUCCUUCGCAUUUCCCACAUGUGGCAAAUGAAUUCACCCUUACCUGAAUAACUACCAACACUGAAGCUAUUGAUGAGCACACUUUGUGACUGUAAUACUUCAACAUGUUCAGCAACUGUAACAAGAUUUAUUUUGCAAUAUAACUGAAUCUUGCGACACCGCAUAGAACUCUGCGAAAGUGGGAGCGCUAACUCUAGAACAGCGGCGGACAUCUACUUAAGUUCUUCUUCAGGUCAAAUAAUUGUGAUUUGGAAUUACUAAUAAUUUAAAGUUCUUAAAUCAAAUAGAGGGCCUUUACCUGGUCUAUUCUGAUUAAAGUAAAUUCCAAAAA